rnacentral:rRNA from 1 species
CCUACGGGAGGCAGCAGUAGGGAAUAUUGCUCAAUGGGGGAAACCCUGAAGCAGCAACGCCGCGUGGAGGAUGAAGGUUUUCGGAUUGUAAACUCCUUUUUUUAGAGAAGAUAAUGGCUGUAUCUAACGGAUAAGCACCGGCUAACGCCGUGCCAGCAGCCGCGGUAAUAGUGAGGGUGCAAGCGUUACUCGGAAUGAUGGGGCGUAAAGAGCGCGUAGGCGGGAUAGCAAGUCAGAUGUGAAAUCCUAUGGCUUAACCAUAGAAUUGCAUUUGAAAAUGUUAUUCUUGAGUAUGGUAGAGGUAGGUGGAAUUCUUGGUGUAGGGGUAAAAUGCGUAGAGAUCAAGAGGAACACUGAUUGCGAAGGCGGCCUGCUAGACCAUAACUGACGCUGAUGCGCGAAAGCGUGGGGAGCAAACAGGAUUAGAUACCCCUGUAGUC